AUAAGUUAGGUGCCUACCUAAGCCACAAUUAAACACAGUUCAUAAUGUAAUUGGAUAAGCAUUACAUACAUAAAUCGCAUACAUGUUUCUGUUUAUCAUCUUCUUGUUUGCUUCUUGGAAUUCUUUUCCAUUAAUGUUGUGAUUCAUGAUUGGAAAACUCUGGUCUUGUGUGAAAUUAAAGGAUGAGAAAAUUACAUCUAUUUUAAUUUUUAAGUUCAAAAGUAUAUCUAUACACCCUUACCAACAACCUCAAUCCACCCCCUCAAUCCCAUCAUCCACGCCAUACUCACUAUCUGCCGAUUCAAUUUUUACGAGGCAGUGGAAAGACAAUGCUUGCCUCCCAUCAAAUCACCACAACCCACCCCUUUACCCACUAUCUCCCAAUUCUCUUUCUAUAUGUAUACAUAUAAUUAUACACAAAAUAUCUCAUACGCUUUUUCCUCGUACCCUUUGCUGCAAAUUUUUCUCAUUCGUAAUGAAAUUUAAACAAACCUUGCGUCGGCAUCUCCAACGUUGACGAUUCCCAAGCAGCAAUUGAUUCAUGAUUCCAACUUUGGCGGACUUUUGUCGAAGAUUGUUGAUUCCAACUUCAGAUUAAUCUAUUGUGAGGAGAUUGAUGGUCAGUUGUGGAGGUCCUUUUAGAAGUAGAUUUCAUAGACAACCUAUGUCUCCUCUUCUUAUGUAUUUGAUGGGAAAUGGAUAAGAAAGGGGGUGGACUUUUGCAACGAGCUUUGGCCUCGAUGUGCUUCGAAAUUGUUAAUUUGUUUGAGGUGGUGGAACAGCCAGAUUUUGUGAUAGCAACGGUGGCGACGGUUUAUUGUUUGUUGUGGUGGCUAUAAACAGGCAGAGAUCGUGCCAUGGUCAGUUUGUUGAAGGUAUUGGUGCAAAUGAUGGAAGUGGUGAUGCUGCGGAAUUGUGGUGAAGGUAUCAUUUAUGGUUGUGGAUUUAAAUUGAAGGUCGUAAUGGACUGGUCCAUUGGAGGUGAUAGUGGUGGUGACUAG
rnacentral:lncRNA from 1 species